GCCGAAGUGGCGGAACUGGCAUACGCGCUACGUUCAGGGCGUAGUGGCCGUAAGGCCUUGUGGGUUCAAAUCCCACCUUCGGCA
rnacentral:tRNA from 1 species